rnacentral:rRNA from 1 species
AUGGCCUGGGCUGCCUGGGGCCCAAAUCCGCCCGAGAACGACGGGGAUGCGGAUGGGAACGCGAUUCCUGAGAAGAAUCCUCAGCAGGUUGAGGUUGUACCUGUGCAGAACACCGAUGAAGCAAAUGAUAGUGCCCUCGCAGAACUUCAUGCAUUGUGUCACGUCCUUGGAAUUAACUACAACAGGAAGCUACUGGAAUUCGGAACAACGAUUGACAUUGAAAGGGUAUUUGAAUCUAUUGAGUUCCUGGAGAAAACCAAAUCUGAGAAUUUCACUGAGCUCCAGGGAAUUGCUAAAGAGAUGAUGAAGGCUUGGCAAGCCGCCAAUACACCUUUUAAAAGAUGUCCAGUUUUGCUUGGAUAUUGGCUGUCCGUGAUGCUCCCGGUCCUGAUUCUGUGA